rnacentral:rRNA from 1 species
GGCGGACCGGUGAGUAUCGCGUUACGGAACCUACCCAGAGGUGGGAAUAAUUCGCCGAAAGGCGGACUAAUACCCAUGGUAUCCGGCUUGUCCGGAUUAAAGAUUUAUCGCUCUGGGAGGGGCCUGCGUCUGAUUAGCUAGUUGGUGAGGUAAAAGCUCACCAAGGCGACGAUCAGUAGCUGGAUCGAGAGGUUGACCAGCCACACUGGGACUGAGAUACGGCCCAGACUCCUACGGGAGGCAGCAGUAAGGAAUAUUCCACAAUGGGGAAACCCUGAUGGAGCAAUGCCGCGUGCAGGAUGAAGCGUUUCGGCGUGUAAACUGCUUUUAAACGGGAAGAUUAUGACUGUACCUGCAGAAGAAGCACCGGCUAACUACGUG